AUUGAACGCUGGCGACAGGCCUAACACAUGCAAGUCGAACGAGCGGCGGACGGGUGAGAAAUGUCUGGGGAAAACCCCGAGGGGGGGGGAUAAAUACUGGAAAAGGUAGCUAAUAUCCCAUACGACCUCAUGUGCCCCGAUGGGAUUAGCUAGUAGGGGGGGUAACGGCUCACCGAGGCGACGAUCCCUAGCUGGUCUGAGAGGAUGACCAGCCACACUGGAACUGAGACACGGUCCAGACUCCUACGGGAGGCAGCAGUGGGGAAUAUUGCACAAUGGGCGCAAGCCUGAUGCAGCCAUGCCGCGUGUGUGAAGAAGGCCUUCGGGUUGUAAAGUACUUUCAGCGGGGAGGCGUUACCCGCAGAAGAAGCACCGGCUAACUACGUGCCAGCAGCCGCGGUAAUAC
rnacentral:rRNA from 1 species